AGAACGAACGCUGGCGGCAUGCCUAACACAUGCAAGUCGAACGCUCUUGGGGCUUCGGUCUCAGGGGAGUGGCGCACGGGUGAGUAGCGCGUGGGAACCUGCCCUGUUGUGGGGGAUAACCGAGGGAAACUUCGGCUAAUACCGCAUAAGCCGGUUGUCUUGAAGGAGAUGGCCGGGAAAGAUUUAUCGCGACAGGAGGGGCCCGCGUCGGAUUAGCUAGUUGGUGGGGUAACGGCCCACCAAGGCGGUGAUCCGUAGCUGGUCUGAGAGGAUGAUCAGCCACACUGGGACUGAGACACGGCCCAGACUCCUACGGGAGGCAGCAGUGGGGGAAUAUUGGACAAUGGGCGCAAGCCUGAUCCAGCAAUGCCGCGUGAGUGAUGAAGGCCUUAGGGUUGUAAAGCUCUUUCGCCCGCGACGAUGAUGACGGUAGCGGGAGAAGAAGCCCCGGCUAACUUCGUGCCAGCAGCCGCGGUAA
rnacentral:rRNA from 1 species